UAUGAGUAAAGUGGCGCACGGGUGAGUAAUACUUGGAUAAUGCGCCUCUUCGCUGGGGAUAACCAGGCGAAAGCUUGGCUAAUACCGAAUAGUCCGACUGGAACUUUGGUUUCGGUCGGUAAAGCCGUAAGGCGCGGAGAGAGUAGUCCAAGUCCCAUUAGCUAGUUGGUAGGGUAAUGGCCUACCAAGGCAACGAUGGGUAGCUGGUCUGAGAGGACGAUCAGCCACACUGGAACUGGAACACGGUCCAGACUCCUACGGGAGGCAGCAGUUAGGAAUUUUGCGCAAUGGGGGAAACCCUGACGCAGCAACGCCGCGUGAAGGACGAAGGCCCUCGGGUUGUAAACUUCUUUUAGCAGGAAAGAAAAAAAUGACGGUACCUGCAGAAAAAGCACCGGCUAACUCUGUGCCAGCAGCCGCGGUAAUACAGAGGGUGCAAGCGUUAUUCGGAAUUACUGGGCGUAAAGAGCGCGUAGGCGGUUUGUUAAGUUCGUUGUGAAAGCCCUGGACUCAAUCCGGGAAGUGCAGCGAAUACUGUCGAACUAGAGUAUGGGAGAGGAGAAUGGAAUUCCUGGUGUAGAGGUGAAAUUCGUAGAUAUCAGGAGGAACAACAGUGGCGAAGGCGAUUCUCUGGACCAUUACUGACGCUGAGGCGCGAAAGCGUGGGGAGCAAACAGGAUUAGAUACCCUGGUAGUCCACGCCGUAAACGAUGGAUGCUAGAUGUCGGGAGUUCUUACCCUCUCGGUGUCGUCGCUAACGCAUUAAGCAUCCCGCCUGGGGAGUACGGUCGCAAGAUUAAAACUCAAAGAAAUUGACGGGGGCCCGCACAAGCGGUGGAGUAUGUGGUUUAAUUCNAUGCAACGCGAAAAANCUUACCUGGGCUUGACAUCUGGUGCUAUCCGGUGAAAGCCGGAGUUUCC
rnacentral:rRNA from 1 species